rnacentral:lncRNA from 1 species
CUCAAAAAAGAAAAAAAAAGAAAGAAAGAAAAGAAAUACUGAGUGUCUUGACACUCCACAAAACAUAAUACUGGUCCAUAUUGAUGAUAUUAUGCUGAUUGGAUUUGAUGAGCAGGAAGUUACAAGUACUUUAGAUGUCUUAAUAAGACAUAUGUGAACCAUAUUGAAGGAGAUAAUACCCACAAAAAGCCAGGGGCUGGUCACCUGAGUGAAGGUUUGGGGAUUCAGUAGUCUGGAGAACACCGAAAUAUCUCCUCCAAGGCAAAAGACCAACUUCUGCAUUUUGUACUACCUACCACAAAGAGGCACAACUCUUGAUAAGCCUUUUUGGGUUUUGGAGGCAACAUGUAUCACAUUUGUGAAUCUACAGAGAUACUUGUAAGGCUUCCUGUUUCACAUGGGACCUGGGACAAAGAAGGCUCUGCUCUAAAUUCAGGCUAUAGUAUAAGCUGCUCUAUCACUUGUCCUUCUGACUCAACAGACCCAAUGAUACUUUAAGUGUGGCAAACAGUUGAUGUAUGUAGCUUCUCAAAAGGAUGAAUAGGAAAAUGACCACCUUGACCUCUAGAAUUUUUGAAUAAAAUCCAUGUCUUCUACAGAUAACUAUUCUCUUUUUGAGAACAGCUUCUGUCUUGCUACCAGGCCUUGGUAGAUACUGAAUGCCUAAUGCUUCCCGUCACAAACUCACCUUGCCAAGAGAUCAGGCAUGUGCACAGUCUAUCAUCAAAUGGACAUGGUAUAUAAGAGAUCAAGUUUGAGUAGGUCUGGAAUAUAUGAGUAGAUUUCAUAACAGGCACUUCAGAUUCCUUUGACACAAACUCCUGUUGCAUUGUGUCCUGUCCUUCACCCCAUGCCUGUGACCUCAUGAACUGCUCCUUAUGACCAGUUUACUGAGGAAAACACUUAGACCUGGUUACAGCUGAACCUAUGCAGUAAGCUGGCAAUACACAAAAGUGGACAGCCUCAGCAUUACAGGGGUGACCCUGGAGUAUGAUGGAGCUGCCUGCCUUGCCUGUAAUGCUUCUGCCAGCAACACCAUCUGUGGACUGACAGAAUGCUUUAUCCACAUUCACAGGAAUCCAGCCAUCAUCUGAGGAAGCAGUUCAUGUCGCAGCAAAGGAAGUUCUGUUCUCACCACAGCCCCUAUCUUCUGGAAGCAGCUGUCGUAAUUGAAAGGGUGCAUUUCUCACCUGCACUGUGGUCCAGGAAACUCAAGUCACCGUCCCCACCAUGUUCUUCCUGACUUCGAAGCAGUCUGGUGACCCCAGGCAGGAACUGACUAGCAUGAGAGUCUUGAUGCAGGAGAAUUUUUGAAGAAAUUCAGAAGCAGAACCGAAAGGAGGAGAGAAGGUGGAGCCACCUCCACCCUGUCCACUAACCUUCAGUGGGAACAGCAGAUGCAACUGGCGGGGCUGAAGGAAACAGCAGGCAGUGAGAUGGAGUGAGAACUGGAAUAAGGCAAGGAAUAUUGCUGAGAUGGUUCUCAAAUCAAUGGAGAGAGAUGUCCGUGGAUGAAUCACAAAGGGAGGGAAUGGGUGCAAAGGCCUCACUGAGAUCCAAUGACAGCAGAAGCUGCCAGGAUCUGACGUAAACCAGUUUGGUUGAAGUGUUGGGGGAGGCUAUAUGACCACAUUUUGUUUCUAUUGGCACAAUUCCAUACAUGGAAAAUGUCAUGAGACUCAAAAAUGGGUUCAGCAGAAGCUCAAAAAUAUGCUACAAAAUUCAGGAAGAAGCUAAAAUAUUAUCAGAUUAUUUUAUAAAGGACACAACUAGUCAGGAACCUUUUGAAAACACCAGCAUGCAUCAUCCAAAGAAGUAGAAUCCAAUUAAAAAAAAAAAAAAGACUGGGAGGAGUACAUCACAAAGGAGGGUGAGAUUUGGGAAGACAGUUACUCUAAGACCCUGUGAGCAAACUGCACCUGAUUCCAGAAAGACAGUUGGAGUCGAGGAGAGAAUGAAGCAACUUUACUGGCUGGGUUGAAGCCUACCCUAUCAGAACGGAAUAAGGCUAAUGCGGUUAUCAAGGUUCUCUUGAAGGAAAUAAUCCCCUGGUUUGGGUUGCCCCAAAGCCUCCAAAGUGAUAAUCGCUUGUCUUCUGCCUCCCAAAUAACUCAAAGGGUUGCUAAGGCUCUCAGAAUUAAAUACUAUUUACACUCAGCAUGGAGGCCUCAAUCCUCAGGGAAAGUAGAAAGGGCUAAUCAAACUCUAAAACUGGCAUUAGCUAAGCUAUGUCAGGAAACAUCAGAAACUUGGAUCAACUUACUGCCCAUAGCCCUCUUAAGAAACCAUUAUUCUCCAAGAGCAAAAAUUAAUAUAAGCCCAUAUAAAAUGUUAUAUGGGAGGCCAUUUUAACUAAUGAUCUAAUUACUGAUCCAGAAACGGCUGAGUUAAUAAAAUACCUAGUUAACCUAGGACAGUUUCAGCAGGUCUCGCAAGAGUUUGGAACUCAAAGGCUCCCCGCACCAGGAACUAACCAGCAAACCAAGGUCAGGCCAGGAGAUAAGGUACUUGUUAAAACAUGGAAUGAGGAGUCACCUGCUCAACAACUACAACCCUAAUGGAAGGGACUAUUUUCACUGGUGUUGGCCAUGCCUUCCAUGGCCAAAGUACUAGGAUUAGAUAGUUGGAUACCUCUUUCCAGGUUUAAGCCUGCAACAUCUGAAGCCCUGGACCUGGAACCGGAGACUCCCACCAGCCACUAUACCUGUGAACCCGUAGAAGACCUGAACUACCUAUUUAAAAGACAGUCAAAAGAUAAGUAAAUGCCUACCAAUUUUCCCUGGUGUAAAAUGUUAACUGAUUUUUGCUCUCUCACUUACAGAUGUUUGUAUAAGGGUUUCAGCCAAUUUUGGAACAAAAUUCAAAAUCAGGCCAAAAUACUUACCUGUUGUGACUAGAUCAAGCCAGCUGUACCUUUUAUAACCACGUACAAGGCUUGCCGCAACCCAUGGAUACCCACCUAAAUACUUAGGAAUAGAGAGCCAUGAUCCUCAGUAGGCAGGGACAAUGCCCAUGACCAGUAGAAAGUAGCUACAGAAAACUGAUCUUCAGCCCUUUUGCCUCCCAUAAAGAUUUAUGGGGAUCAUAUCUCUCAGAGGGAAAUGAGGCAGGAGAAUAGGGAAUUAGGGUAACCAGGGUUUCAGCUGGUGCAGCCAGUGCCGCAGGGGUGGAAGAACAGCAGGUGCAGCCAGUUCAAAUGAGCAGAAGAACAGCAGGUGCAGCAUAUAGGCCACAUCCUUGCUCCCAUGAUAACAAGCCACUUCAGCCUCCGAUUGGUCUCAGGCCAAUCCUUUAUGAGGUGUGGUCAAUUGGAGGCCUCUGAAGGGCACUGAGAGGUGUUGCCGGGUUUUUUCUUUAAUAAAAACCGUAAUUGAGGGGGCUCUUGAGCAGCCGCUUGCUCAAGCCCAAUCCCACUCUGAAUUUUCUUCAAUAAAUCUGUGCCCACACUGGCAUUUUGUUCAGUUCCUUGCCCAAUACACCAAGAACAGCAGGUGCAGCAUACAGGCCACAUCCUGGCUGGACAACUCACAUUUAGGACACUCUCUCCGGCAACAGGUGACAUCAUCCUCUUAGCCUGUCAAAAUGUUGGUAUUACAGGCAUGAGCUGCCCUGCCUGGCCUAUAACUUUUUUUGCUGAAAAAUAUUCCCUUGUAUGCAGGUAUUACAUUUAGCCAUUCAUCAGCUGGUGGACAUUUGAACUGUUUCCACUUUUGUUUACUAUGAAUAAAGCUGCUAUGAACACCUGUGUAAAGUUUUGCAUAGACAUGUUUUCAUUUCUGUAUAUAUAUCUAA